rnacentral:rRNA from 1 species
CAAAUAACCGCUAGGUGUGACGGUACCACCGAAGGAAGCCCCGGCUAACUACGUGGCCAGCAGCCGCGGUAAGACGUAGGGGGCGAGCGUUGUCGGAUUUACUGGGCGUAAAGCGCGCGUAGGCGGCUAGGUAAGUCGGUUGUGAAAUUCCUCGGCUUAACCGAGGUCCCGCAUCCGAUACUGUCUGGCUCGAGUCUAGGAGAGGAAAGCGGAAUUCCCAGUGUAGCGGUGAAAUGCGUAGAUAUUGGGAGGAACACCGGUGGCGAAGGCGGCUUUCCGGACUAGCACUGACGCUGAGGCGCGAAAGCUAGGGGAGCGAACGGGAUUAGAUACCCCGGUAGUCCUAGCCGUAAACGAUGGGUACUAGGUGUGGGAGGUAUUGACCCCUUCCGCGCCGAAGCUAACGCAUUAAGUACCCCGCCUGGGGAGUACGGCCGCAUGGCUAAAACUCAAAGGAAUUGACGGGGGCCCGCACAAGCGGUGGAGCAUGUGGUUUAAUUCGACGCAACGCGAAGAACCUUACCAGGGCUUGACAUCCCGCGAACCUGCCUGAAAGGGCGGGGUGCCCGCAAGGGAGCGCGGAGACAGGUGGUGCAUGGCUGUCGUCAGCUCGUGUCGUGAGAUGUUGGGUUAAGUCCCGCAACGAGCGCAACCCUCACCCCUAGUUGCCACCGGGUCAUGCCGAGCACUCAAGGGGAACUGCCAGCGUCAAGCUGGAGGAAGGCGGGGAUGACGUCAAGUCAUCAUGCCCCUUACGCCCUGGGCUACACACGUGCUACAAUGGCCAGUACAAAGGGACGCGAGACCGCGAGGUGGAGCUAAUCCCAAAAAGCUGGCCUAAGUUCAGAUUGCAGUCUGCAACUCGACUGCAUGAAGGAGGAAUCGCUAGUAAUCGCGCAUCAGCCCGGCGCGGUGAAUACGUUCCCGGGCCUUGUACACACCGCCCGUCGCACCACGAAAGCUGUCUGUACUCGAAGUCGCUAAGCUAACCCGCAAGGGAGGCAGGCGCCGAAGGUAUGGUCAGUGAUUGGGGUGAAGUCGUAACAAGGUA